rnacentral:rRNA from 1 species
UGAGGAAUAUUGGUCAAUGGGCGGGAGCCUGAACCAGCCAAGCCGCGUGGAGGAAGAAGGUACAGAGUAUCGUAAACUCCUUUUGUCAGGGGAUAAAAGGCGCCACGAGUGCGUUCUGAAGGUACCUGAAGAAAAAGCAUCGGCUAACUCCGUGCCAGCAGCCGCGGUAAUACGGAGGAUGCGAGCGUUAUCCGGAUUUAUUGGGUUUAAAGGGUGCGUAGGCGGUCUUUUAAGUCAGCGGUGAAAGCCCGGGGCUCAACCCCGGGCGAGCCGUUGAUACUGGGAGACUGGAGAGGAAGAGAGGCAUGCGGAAUUCGCGGUGUAGCGGUGGAAUGCUUAGAUAUCGCGAAGAACUCCGAUUGCGAAGGCAGCAUGCUGGCUUCUGUCUGACGCUGAGGCACGAAAGCGUGGGGAUCGAACAGGAUUAGAUACC